UACGAGGGGGCGAGCGUUGUUCGGAAUUAUUGGGCGUAAAGGGUGCGUAGGCGGUUUGGUAAGUCUCGUGUGAAAUCUCCGGGCUCAACUCGGAGCCUGCACGAGAAACUGCCGGGCUUGAGUGUGGGAGAGGUGAGUGGAAUUCCUGGUGUAGCGGUGAAAUGCGUAGAUAUCAGGAGGAACACCUGUGGCGAAAGCGGCUCACUGGACCACAACUGACGCUGAGGCGCGAAAGCUAGGGGAGCAAACGGG
rnacentral:rRNA from 1 species